GACGAACGCUGGCGGCGUGCCUAAUACAUGCAAGUCGAACGAGUGGCGGACGGGUGAGUAAUGUAUGGGGAUCUGCCCGAUAGAGGGGGAUAACUACUGGAAACGGUGGCUAAUACCGCAUACUAUCGGAUGAACCCAUAUGGGACUAGCCAGUAGGGGGGGUAAAGGCUCACCCAGGCGACGAUUCCUAGCUGGUCUGAGAGUAAGAUCAGCCACACUGUGACUGAGACACGGCCCAGACUCCUACGGGUGGCAGCAGUGGGGAAUAUUGCACAAUGGGAGCAAGCCUGAUACAGCCAUGCCGCGUGUGUGAAGAAAGCCUUAGGAUUGUAAAGUACUUUCGGCGGGGAGGCAUUACCCGCAGAAGAAGCACCGGCUAACUACGUGCCAGCAGCCGCGGUAAUAC
rnacentral:rRNA from 1 species